AUUGAACGCUGGCGGCAGGCCUAACACAUGCAAGUCGAACGGUAACAGGAAGAAGCUUGCUUCUUUGCUGACGAGUGGCGGACGGGUGAGUAAUGUCUGGGAAACUGCCUGAUGGAGGGGGAUAACUACUGGAAACGGUAGCUAAUACCGCAUAACGUCGCAACGACCAAAGAGGGGGACCUUCGGGCCUCUUGCCAUCGGAUGUGCCCAGAUGGGAUUAGCUAGUAGGUGGGGUAACGGCUCACCUAGGCGACGAUCCCUAGCUGGUCUGAGAGGAUGACCAGCCACACUGGAACUGAGACACGGUCCAGACUCCUACGGGAGGCAGCAGUGGGGAAUAUUGCACAAUGGGCGCAAGCCUGAUGCAGCCAUGCCGCGUGUAUGAAGAAGGCCUUCGGGUUGUAAAGUACUUUCAGCGGGGAGGA
rnacentral:rRNA from 1 species